GAUGCUGCUGCUAUAGUACUUUCAGGCAAGGCCAAGGCUUCUUGAAAGGCUGGUCAUGCCCCAGUGAUCAAUGAAGAACUCAGGGAUAUCCCAAAACUCAGGACUAUAAGGCACAAUGGGGGAGCAGGUACCAGGUGGCCAGCAUCCUAAAUGACUCUCAGCAGCUGCAGAGAAUGUAAAUAACAAGAGCUGCCUAUAAAUCUACCUCAGAAGACAAAGGGAAAAGCAAAACUCUGCCCAGGAAGACCUUACUUUACAAACCAGGUGACCAAAUUUCUAAAACAUCAUUCCCGUAAUCCCUGAUCAACAGAAAGGAAGCUCUGGAAGCAUGAAUGGUCAGUACACACAUCGUCCACAGGACUCACACACCACAAACUAGUCAUUGAUCCUUUUGACCCAAUUUCAGAAAAUAUGUUUACAUAGAGACACAUAUUUUUGCUAUUUACUUUUUGAGCAACCAACAGGAAAACC
rnacentral:lncRNA from 10 species